rnacentral:rRNA from 1 species
GGAGUUAGCCGGUGCUUCUUCUGUGAGUGAUGUCCUUCCUGCCGGCUAUUAACCCGCAGGCCUUCUUCCUCACUGAAAGUGCUUUACAACCCGAAGGCCUUCUUCACACACGCGGCAUGGCUGGAUCAGGGUUGCCCCCAUUGUCCAAUAUUCCCCACUGCUGCCUCCCGUAGGAGUCUGGGCCGUGUCUCAGUCCCAGUGUGGCUGAUCAUCCUCUCAGACCAGCUACGGAUCGUCGCCUUGGUGAGCCGUUACCUCACCAACCAGCUAAUCCGACAUAGGCUCAUCCGAUAGCGCGAGGCCCGAAGGUCCCCCGCUUUCCCCCGUAGGGCGUAUGCGGUAUUAGCCUGGGUUUCCCCAGGUUAUCCCCCACUACCGGGCAGAUUCCUAUGCAUUACUCACCCGUCCGCCGCUCGCCACCAGGGAGCAAGCUCCCCGUGCUGCCGCUCGACUUGCAUGUGUAGCGUCGCCGCCACGCGUACAUCUGACGACGACGAACUACAACUACUCGA